GUGUCUCCCCGGCUCGCGGGGGAGCGACGGCCGGACUGUAGCCGCCCCUAACCCCGCAACGACAACAACAAUACCUCGGGGGAACACCCCCUGUCAUUGUCGCCUCCAUAUGGACUAUAUCUCCCAUUGGAGGGUGAUGUCAAGUCAUCAUAGAUACGAACACAAUCACCGCAGAGACAGUAACACACUCCCAGUCCUAAUACUCAAGUGUCAUCAAGCUGAAGUUCAUGGCUAAAUAUCAAGUCUAAAUUGUGUCAAUGUCAUGUUAAAUUAUAUUACACUUGAAAUAAAUAUAAUGUCAACAUUAACAUCCACAAGCUCAUCUUAACAUAACUAGUUCUUUUUUGCAUAUGGUUUCGGUGUGUUUAAGUUUACUUCAUUUCACCAGUCAUGCACAAUUAUUACUCAUUGUAGUAAAAUUUGACUUUUUUUUUUUUUUUUUUUUUGAGAUAUAUACAAGAGUUGUUACAUUCUUGUACAGCCACUAGUACGCGUAGCGUUUCGGGCAAGUCCUU